GCAACAUCGCAACAUCCAGUGAUCCGCUUUCGAAAAACUCGAGUGCAUAGUACGCGUACGGAUUAAGCUCAGCGCGUACUACCGAAGCUCCAGCGCGGAAAUAGCUCGGUUUAUCAUACUCCAUAAAUGUGAAUUGAACACAGGACCGGACUCGACGCCGCUGGAGAAUUCCAGACAUUUUUUUAACGUUUUUUGCCACUUUGAUAAAAUUUCUCAAUACUUUGCAUUUUUUGCAAAAAAACUCACAGGAAACGUCUCUCCUUGCCAGACAAGAUGAAGACGACUAAAAUAUAUUUCAUAACCAUCCCAUUUCAUGCGCAAGUGCACGUAAUAAACAUCUGAAAUAUGAAAGACUUAUUAAUAAAACAAACGUAAUGCGAUUUAAAGGCGAGACACUCGAAACUUUGGAGAAAACAAAAGGAAAUUGUAAACAAUGAUUCAACUUCGUAAGAAACAACCAAAUAAUUUUGAUCCCGUCACGAUGCCAAAACGGUAUGCAAACAAAAUUAAAAGGGACAUUAGUCGAAAGCGUAAAUUUGUAAAUAAAUGCAGAAUUUUAACAACGAAGAAUUUUUACAAGACAGCCAAUUAAUCACAUGCGUCGCCAAAAAACAAAAAAUAGAACGUAUUCGUCACGUUUUGAACAAUUAGAAACAAGUAUAUGAGGCUCUGUCCCUCAGUGUUGUGCUCAAUCUCGUCUGUAGCGCGUACGAGGUAACAACCAUGAACUCCGCGGAAGGAACCAACCUGGUGGCCACCUACUGCAUCCUGCUGCUGCUGCUGGUGUCGCUAUGGCUCAUGUAUUCUGCAUUUUAAGGACAAAAUAAGCUGUCCACAAACAACUUAAACUUGAGACCAAUCCAAGAUGGCGGUCAACAUACGCUAUAAUCUUAUAUUUAGGAAACCGUAAUCUUAGUAAUAAGUUAAUCGUAAGUUAAGCAAUGUACACCCAAGCAUUUAAGUAACUUAAGACCACGGAACGAGACUAAGGGAGGUCGCACAGAAUGACAAACUCGAAACACCAGAGAGUGUGAACAGUGCUGGGCAUUCCAAUAUAAGUAAAGUCUAAAGUAAAAUAUAUCAAAGUGAAAGACAGCAUAUUAGAUGGCAAAUAUUUAAUACCAGAGCAAUGUUACUGAGUUAGCUAAUUAUUGUUGAUGUUCGGUACAAAUCAUCUUGUUACGGAUUUUAUCGUUGUUAUGUUAUGAACUAAGAGAGUUUUGUAAUAAAGGCUUUUUUAGAAUAA